rnacentral:rRNA from 1 species
CCUACGGGAGGCAGCAGUGGGGAAUAUUGGGCAAUGGACGCAAGUCUGACCCAGCAACGUCGCGUGAAGGAAGAAGGCUCUCGGGUUGUAAACUUCUUUUAAGGGGGAAGCGCAGAAGACGGUACCCCUUGAAUAAGCAAUGGCUAACUACGUGCCAGCAGCCGCGGUAAUACGUAGGUGGCAAGCGUUGCCCGGAUUUACUGGGUGGAAAGGGCGUGCAGCCGGGAAGACAAGUCCGAUGUGAAAUCCCGCGGCUCAACCGCGGAACUGCAGUUGAAACUGUUUUUCUUGAGUAUCGGAGAGGUAAUCGGAAUUCGUGGUGUAGCGGUGAAAUGCGUAGAUAUUAGGAAGAACACCAGUGGCGAAGGCAGAUUACUGGACGACAACUGACGGUCAGGCACGAAAGCGUGGGGAGCGAACAGGAUUAGAUACCCGUGUAGUC